rnacentral:rRNA from 1 species
UACGGAGGGUGCAAACGUUGCUCGGAAUCAUUGGGCGUAAAGCGCACGUAGGCGGCUUGUUAUGUCGGGUGUGAAAUCCCUCGGCUUAACCGAGGAAGUGCAUUCGAAACUGACAGGCUUGAAUACUCAAGAGGGUCUCGGAAUUCCCGGUGUAGAGGUGAAAUUCGUAGAUAUCGGGAGGAACACCAGUGGCGAAGGCGGAGACCUGGGGAGAUAUUGACGCUGAGGUGCGAAAGCGUGGGGAGCAAACAGG